rnacentral:rRNA from 1 species
GACGAACGCUGGCGGCGUGCCUAAUACAUGCAAGUAGAACGCACAGUUUAUACCGUAGCUUGCUACACCAUAGACUGUGAGUUGCGAACGGGUGAGUAACGCGUAGGUAACCUGCCUGGUAGCGGGGGAUAACUAUUGGAAACGAUAGCUAAUACCGCAUAAUAUUAAUUAUUGCAUGAUAAUUGAUUGAAAGGUGCAAAUGCAUCACUACCAGAUGGACCUGCGUUGUAUUAGCUAGUAGGUGAGGUAACGGCUCACCUAGGCGACGAUACAUAGCCGACCUGAGAGGGUGAUCGGCCACACUGGGACUGAGACACGGCCCAGACUCCUACGGGAGGCAGCAGUAGGGAAUCUUCGGCAAUGGACGAAAGUCUGACCGAGCAACGCCGCGUGAGUGAAGAAGGUUUUCGGAUCGUAAAGCUCUGUUGUAAGAGAAGAACGGGUGUGAGAGUGGAAAGUUCACACUGUGACGGUAUCUUACCAGAAAGGGACGGCUAACUACGUGCCAGCAGCCGCGGUAAUACGUAGGUCCCGAGCGUUGUCCGGAUUUAUUGGGCGUAAAGCGAGCGCAGGCGGUUAGAUAAGUCUGAAGUUAAAGGCUGUGGGCUUAACCAUAGUACGCUUUGGAAACUGUUUAACUUGAGUGCCGAAGGGGAGAGUGGGAAUUCCACGUGUACCCGUUGUAAUG